rnacentral:pre_miRNA from 1 species
UCUUAUGGGUGAGCAGAGAAAGUGGUUUCUCGAGAUGGGACCUACUCCUGGUAAAGAUGCUGUGAA